AAGUCGAGGGGCAUCAGUUUGGUUUGCUUGCAAACCAAAGCUGGCGACCGGCGCACGGGUGAGUAACACGUAUCCAACCUGCCUCAUACUCGGGGAUAGCCUUUCGAAAGAAAGAUUAAUAUCCGAUAGCAUAUGUUUCCCGCAUGGGUUUUAUAUUAAAGAAAUUCGGUAUGAGAUGGGGAUGCGUUCCAUUAGUUUGUUGGCGGGGUAACGGCCCACCAAGACUACGAUGGAUAGGGGUUCUGAGAGGAAGGUCCCCCACAUUGGAACUGAGACACGGUCCAAACUCCUACGGGAGGCAGCAGUGAGGAAUAUUGGUCAAUGGACGCGAGUCUGAACCAGCCAAGUAGCGUGAAGGAUGACUGCCCUAUGGGUUGUAAACUUCUUUUAUAUGGGAAUAAAGUGGUCCACGUGUGGAUUUUUGUAUGUACCAUAUGAAUAAGGAUCGGCUAACUCCGUGCCAGCAGCCGCGGUAAUACGGAGGAUCCGAGCGUUAUCCGGAUUUAUUGGGUUUAAAGGGAGCGUAGGCGGAUUGUUAAGUCAGUUGUGAAAGUUUGCGGCUCAACCGUAAAAUUGCAGUUGAUACUGGCAGUCUUGAGUGCAGUAGAGGUGGGCGGAAUUCGUGGUGUAGCGGUGAAAUGCUUAGAUAUCACGGAGAACUCCGAUUGCGAAGGCAGCUCACUGGAGUGUA
rnacentral:rRNA from 1 species